rnacentral:lncRNA from 1 species
CAGGAACUCGACUGGCAGAAAGGGCAGGCAGGAGAAAAAGGAGGCCCCUGAAACUGAAGAAGCCAAAGAUGCUGAAGCUGGCAAGGAUGCCGCAGAGGAGGCCCCUGGUGAAGAUGCAGUGAAGGACACUGAUGUGGCGAUGAAGCCUGCUGAAGAGGUGAAGGAGGCUCCUACUGAAACUGAAGGUGCAGAGAAUGCUGUGGACAAGGCUGAUGCUCCUGCUCCAGCACCAGCAGCAGAAGAAAACAAGGAAACUGAGAAACCUGCUGAAUCUGUUGUCGCUCCUCCCGCUCCAUUGGAGGAGAAGAAAGACGCUGUUGAAGAGAACAAGGAAGAUGCCAAGCCUGCUGAGGCUGAAGCUGCUGCUCCAGCUCCAGCAAGCAACCCUACUGAGAUCUCGGCCCCUGCUCCC